CAAGUCUCAACCCCCUCUCCUCUCCUCUGUUGUCUCCUCCUCCAGUCCUCUGAUCUUGCAGUGGGUACUCCUCCUCAGUAUAGAAGGCAAAGAUGUGCUUCCCUGUAAAGCCCAAGCAAAAGGAAGAAGGAGGCAGGUAGAGGAGGGGAGGAGGUGCCUCUGUCGAUAGAGGGAACAAAGGGGAGCAAGAUGUGAAAGAAAAAUAAAAACCAACUGAAAAAGAGGGAGACACAGAGGGAAAAAUCACGGGCUGGACAAAGACGAUGUCCACCCCCACACUAGCGGCCCUUGCUGCCAAUUCGCUGAAGGAGAGAACAGCUGCUGGGCUACUGGGCGAGCUGUGAGAUGGUCAAGGGGAGUGCUGCUCCACCAAUCCCCAGGGGGAGAGGCUUCAAUGGGACCCAUGCCAUGUUCAUUCACUCUCCCCUCCCUCCUCUCCUCCUGCUCUAGUAAUGACAUUACUGCUGAACACUGAGGAACAGCUGGAUUGACCGCACAAAUGCAUGAGCAUAAAUCCCUAAUACAAUGCAUGUAUUGUUGGGCGUUUACAGGUUUUAGAGUCAAAGAUGUUUGUAGUUAAAGGGUUGUGCUGUCAUUGCUGGCGUGUGAAGGAUGGUGGUUUUGGUGACAGCAUGUCCUCUUGUAAGUUAUGGUGAAAACACCAUUGUAUCAACAGCCUUCUGAAGAUAAACAGUAAAUUAAAA